CUGAGAUAAUCAGCUUAUAAAAAUAAAAGUUGUGUUUGGCUCACAGUUUUGGAGGUCCCAGAUCAAUUGGCCCCUUUUGCUUUGGGCCUACAGAGAGGCUGCACAUCAUGGCAGGAGUGUGUAAUGGAGCAAAAUCACCUCAAAACCAGGGACCCAAAGAGAGAGAGAGGGGAAGAGGCUAGGGCCCCACAAUCCUCUUCUAGGGCACACCCCGCAUGAUCUAAAGACACUUCUUAAAGCUUCCACCACCUCUCAGUAGCAUCGCCCUGGGGACCAGGCACUUAACCCAUGGACCUUGGGGUGACAUUCAAGAUCCAGCCUAUAAUAGCACUUGGCCUUGGGAAGAGAUUCUUGGCCUCAGCCAUGCAUGACAGAUGGGCCUGAGUCUCCUGUAGACUGAGCAGUGUUUCCUCGGGAGCAAGGAGGAGCUUCUUCCCGGAGGGAAAAGUGAGAAAAUAUGAAGGUGAUCUCCAGACUAGUUCCAAGAGUCCAUUCUGCCAGUCCAGGCCUUGGCCUCUAUUCAUUCUUGAGACACAGUCAGCUGGACGGAGACACAUGCCUUGGGUUUUUCAUCAUGGCUUUUUUUCAAGAGACAGGUCUCACUAAGUUAGGGCCUGGCUAAACUGCUGAGGCUGGCUUUGAACUUGCGAUCCUUCUGCCUCAGCCUCCCAAUCGUCACUGCGUU
rnacentral:lncRNA from 1 species